rnacentral:rRNA from 1 species
GGCGAACGGGUGAGUAACACGUGGGUGAUCUGCCCUGCACUUCGGGAUAAGCUUGGGAAACUGGGUCUAAUACCGGAUAGGAGCUCCUGCUGCAUGGUGGGGGUUGGAAAGUUUCGGCGGUUGGGGAUGGACUCGCGGCUUAUCAGCUUGUUGGUGGGGUAGUGGCUUACCAAGGCUUUGACGGGUAGCCGGCCUGAGAGGGUGACCGGCCACAUUGGGACUGAGAUACGGCCCAG